rnacentral:lncRNA from 1 species
UUGGGAUAAUAAUUGCCUCAUUUGUCUGAGGCAAUAGCACAUUAGUUCCAGCAGAAUGAGAGGAGAAUAUGGAGAGCUGGUGUCCAAGAAACUGUGAAGAAGAGGUGGGGAGUUGAUUAAUGAAGCCGUUGGCUAUGUACUCCCACUUGUGCAUUGUUUUGAGGUCUGCUGCCACGUGAAGCACACAAUUCUCUUUAACAAAGACUGAGUCCACUUGACUCGAUUUUCAGUGAAAGGGCCCUGAGUGCUUCCAGGUAACUGCAUUAAUUAAAACAAUACAGUAUUAAGUUGUAAUUUUGUGAUAAAAAAGAAUUGGAGUAUUAAUAUAACCUUAUUCCUUGCAUCUUCUCAGUUAUGCAUCCAUGUGAGUUGAGUUUCCCUUCCAUUCUGCUGACAAUAACAGAAUCACUGUUUUCCUUUAUGUGUGCCUAAAGACGAUCAUUAGCAAUAAUUAAUAGGUUGGCAGGCUUAAGUUGAAUUAGAUUAGCUCUUUUGACAAAACCCACACCUCUGUAUCAUGAAUGGCCUGUUCAACCCAAUACUUGAAUGAGUCCUUGCUAAACUUGGUCUUCAUGUGACGAAGAUCAUCCAGUAACUGCAUAUUCAUUAUAGAGAUUAACCAGUUGAUCCUAAAACCUUAAUUCCUCCUGUCAACAGAACUCUCUCGAAACCUUAAUAAAUGCCAAAUGUCUCUCAAGCAAACUAUUCUGACUCAAUCUCAUCCCACAAUCUCUACAUCUUUCUUCAUCAUCCAUUAGUACCAAUGGAUCGAAUCUCUUUUGGAGUCAAUCUCAAAUUGGUAACUGGUCUUCAACAUCUGAUUCAUGAUUAUUUGUAGGUAAUUCUAAUUCGUGCAGCCACAUUUUAGUGCAGUCAACUAAAUUCUAAUUAAUAUGUUUUCUCUCUCUCUUUGCAAUCAGAAUCUCUUCACUCUCUUCUGCUUCAAUCAAUUGCAUAACUCAAAGUCUCUAUAAGUUGUCUCUCUCUUAAUCACAUUAAGUCUUCCUCGCAAUUGGAUCUAUUUCAUGUACAUAUUGAAAAAAAAAAAACAAACUUGGAUUGACAUAAAGUUAUUUCGGUUAAAUCAAUUUAUGUAGGAUGAAGCUAAAUAUCUUCUCAUUCAUUGAUUGAAAUUAUGUAAUCAAGUAAAAUUCAGAUAUCAAGUCUGACAUUGUUGAACUCUCCACAAUGGAAUGUUCAUCCUAUUUACAACAUGUACAAUUUUGUUUCAAAAGUUCUGCCUGGCGAAGUAUUGUUCAAUGUUGUUCAAUGUACAAUUUUAGUUAUUUAUGUAUGUAGGUUUCUUUAAAAGGUGAUUACAUCCAUAUCUAAUUACUAUCUUUUACUUCACUACCCACUGCAAUUAUGCAAAUUAAGUGUGCUUCAUUUUGAGAUGGUCAAUUGUUUUGUUGUUAAUCAAUCCGAUAUUUGCAAAUUAGUAUUGAGUAAUGAUGGUUUACAUUUUUUUUUUCAGGUUAAUGAUCAAUUGUUGAACUGGAUCCAGAGCACCAAAUUGAAGUGCAAACAAGUUUUUACCAGAGGUUAUCGAUACCUUUGUGACAUGUAAGUUCUACUCGGCAAUGUUCAAUCUAUAUUCCUACAUUCUACAUUUUACAAGAUAAGUCUUCUUAAUGCUGACACAUUUAUGAUUAGAUAACCUCAAAUAUUGGAUGAUCUUAGUAAUAGAUGGUAGCCACUAGGAUGUCUUAUACUCAUGUAGGUCUCCCCCUAACAAAGAAGUAUCGACUUUUUAGGACCGCUAAGAAAAAUUAUACAACUGUAUCACACUGAAAUAUUGGAAACCAAAAUCGAAACUACAUAGCAAGAUUCAACAAUCUCUAAAUGUAAACUCAGCUAUCUGAAACAAAGAUGAGGAGCGAAGGAUGUAGGAUCUUAGUUGUAUGCUUGGUUGAAGUUAUGUAUAUGAGUGUAUAGUAGUCAUUGUGUUCACUCGCAGUGAUGACAAUUAUUAUUGCAAUCUUUACAGGACGUUAUGCUAGAACUUGCAAGUUUUAAUCAUUAUGGUAAUCUGAUUCUCUUUGGAGUUGUGACAGAAAAAAAUAAAAAACAAUCAUUUUGGUUUUCUCAUUACAAUUGCUCGUUAGGGAUGUGAGGUUGACAGUACUAUAAGUGUUCAGAUAAAACUUGGUUGGAAAAAACACCUGAAGGACAUAUUGAAAAAGUGAUUCAUAUUGAUUUGUCUGUAAACCACUUAUCUUAUGCACAAUCAUACUAUGUUACUAUGCAUCUUAAGAGGGCAUAACCUUUGUGCAUUGGAAAAAAUGGCUUAUAAGCCUUGUACUUUUAUAGGUAAUCGUUUAUGUAAUAGUAGUUUACGCAACACUACAAUCUUCAAGGGAACACAUGUUUAACUUAAGAGGAGGAUUCAAACAAGCAAAUGUUAUGGUUGUCAUUGGAUAGGAGCAAAGGAACAACCAGUGAGCAUAUCUUUUAAGGGCUCAUGACAGAUUACAUAUUAUUAAUUCCUAUAGUAGUGAGGUUAUAGCCUUCUACGGUUCUUAAAAUUUGGCCAAAUCUUAACGUGUUACGCCUAUAUUUUGAUGCAACCCUUAUACCUGUAUUUUGAUGCAAAAUUAUUAAAAUAAUAAUUAAUAACAUAUGCAAUUGAUUAAUUAUUAUUAUUUUGUCUUAUAUAUAUUGUACAAUUCCAUUUAUACCCUUCAACCAUUAAAAUGGUCAUUAAAUAUGUUGGUUAAGUAUGUUAUAUUAAUUUUAGCCUUUUUUAAUUAGUGCACAUUUUCCAUAUUAUUUAAUUUUUAAUUUUAAUUGUUGUUUAAUUUAAUUUUAAUUGUUGUUUCCAAUAAUUUUUGAUAACCAGUUAUUUGCUACUUGUCCAGUUGUCCAUUGAGAUUUUUUUAGGGUGGUAUCUUUAGGGUUUAGGGUGGUAAAGACUAAAG